rnacentral:lncRNA from 1 species
GAGACGCCGAAAGAAGCCUGUUUGUGUGCUGCGGCCGUGCUGUGACUUUGGAUCUUGUCUUUCAGCCGGCGCCUCGGUUCCUGCCCAGCUGGAUUUGGGGGGCAGCAUUGCCUGGCGCAGGGAGAUCAAGUGAGUAUCGUGGCGGCCCUCAGGCUGCAGCUCGCCCGCGGCGCGAGGCCAGCAGUGCCCGCCGCGGCCCCGCGCCCGCACUCCUCACCUCGCCCGCUAGCCGGUGCCCGCAGAGUCCCGCUGCGGGCCGCUCCGAGGGCCAGUCCGGGGCUUUGCUUCAGCUAAUUGAUUGUGUGCCUCGGAUGUUAAACCUGUUGAUCUCGUGAGUUUUCUUAGCCAGUACUGUUAAUUAUCCAGCGGCUUGACCCCCAAUCGCAGAGAGAUGCCAGGAAAUCUUCGCGUUGGAAAAGGGAAUUUUUAUGAGACUGCAAAGAAGCAUAAAAUGAAUAGACAAUCCAACCAACCAAAGGUAAUUUUAAAAUUUACAUUUGAUAAAAUCCAAGUGAUGU